UAGAUGGAUGAUAGAGACAGACAUAGAGAGAAGGAGGGAGGAAAAGGGAUGGAAGGAAGCAGUAGGAAACAGAGGAAGACUGAAACAAAGCCCUUCAAGUCUCCCAACUCAGAAUUUGUUUGAGGACUUUUGUGGAAAACAAUCUCCAGUCAUUUACCAUGGUGUCUUGGGAGUUGGCCCAAUGACCUGAUACUUGAGUGGGUCCCAUAGAAACCUGCCUUCCCUGGGGCAGCAUGGAAACCCAAGUGUGUGAAAGCUCAUUGCCUGAGAAGUUCUCUCCAUCCUCUGUGAAACUUCUGAUUUAAAAGUGUCAUUGAGAAUUUAUGCAACUGUUUCUCAUUAUUUCCAAAACUGAGAAUAAUUGCCUGGCUGGGUCCUUACUUGACCACUUUUCUCCUAAAAAGCCUUCGAAUUUCUUAUCGUUUUGUCGGUCCCUCCGAGUCAAGAUCAUGCCAAUGUGCUGUUUCCCACAUUCACUCUGAAAACACUUCAAAGAUCAGUGCCAAUUCCUUUUUUAAAAUCCUGAUUCACUAGAGCUCUUUCUUAACUUCUCCCCUGGCUGUCAGGGGACUGACUGGCGCUUGCCUAGACUGGAAAGUCUUCAAGGCUUCCUCCCACUACUUUGCUAACCAGGGUGAUGUUCGAUUGUUCAGGAGAAGUGAGCAAUGGAAUAUUUCACUAACCCCUCCGCCCAAACCAUUCCUGAAGGAUAAACUCUGAGUUAGCCACAGGCGUUCAUUCAGGUGACACCCAAUCCCCAAUUACCCGAUUAACUAGACUCUUGGAGGUUAAUAUGCACUUGAAGGGCAUCUGCUUCCUCCCCAGGUCUCUUUCUUUCUCUUGAGAAACUCCCCACCCCCUUCAUCAAGAGUAAGCAUUGUAGGGCGUGGUAGCACAUGCCUGUAGUUCUAGCAUGGAGAGGUAGGCACAAAGAUGAAGAGUUCAAAGCCAGCCUGGGCUCCACGAAGUCUUGUCACAAAACAAAACAUAAGCGUGCUGUUCACAUCCUCACUAGGAGAGCUAGCGAUUCAAACUUCCAAACCGGACCUUUCUUCCCAACUCUAAAUCACAUCUACUUGGUAUGAGUUCUCCUUUUCAGCCUCGACUAUUAGCAACGACUUCCGCACAGCUCGGUGGAGUUGGUUUCCUGGCGUGCAAUAUGAGAUACUUUCUUCCUUACGAAUGAAGGCCUGACAAGGUAAACGCCCGGACGCAUAAUUUCCAGAGAUAGAAACUGGUCUUGUGAAGAGAUACAAGGCUGAGCCCGGGCCAAUGGAUGUGCCGUGCUGUGGGAUUCUGUUAUUGUAAAAAUUAAUUUCCUUUUCUUCUUCAGAUCUAAUUUGGAUUUUUUUCCUUUUAUCAGUCACUCUUGUCAGCCUCUCAUCAGACUAAAAAUACCGCUCUCACCUGGGUGUGCUGCCGGUGGGUGUGAACACACAGACAUAUAUUUAAUUUUUUCGGAUGUUUCUGCCCCCAUUUCCCCAUAGAUUUUUCUAGGGUAGCAACUAGUUUAUGCAAAUGUCACCAAGCAAUGUUCAACCCAUAUUAUUUUCUCUGUCAUGCCUCAGAUGCUAACGCGUGUUCUUUACUCCCUUCCUGUGGGCUCUACUUGUUUUACAUACUAUCUUGCCAAUAUGUUAUUUAAGAAGAAAACAAUAAACACUUUCAUGUGUCCCCGAGGCCCAGCCCUUCACUGUCACUUCCUUGUGUCAUCCAAUCCAGUAUCCAGUUACAGCUUGCUCUGGCCGACCACAGGACCCCUGCACCUGAGGCUGUCUGUGGUCCAUGGCAGGUUGGCUUCAUCCUGGUCCGCUCUGCUUAGCAGUUAAGUGUCAGGGUAAUGCCUCCUUCUCAGCUGAGUUGUUACUGAUGCCUAAGACCAAGGCUGUCGGACGCUCUCUGGUAGCCUUUACCUUACAGUACAAAUUAUAAUAGACACUAAACAUUGGUAAGUAAUUACCCCUUGUGAGUGGCAUGAACAAGGUAGACACCUGCUUUAUUACUGGAUAUACUCCAGGGAUGUUCCCAGAGUGGGGUGGUGGAGGCAGGGGUGGCCCAGAUACCUGAGAGUGAAGGAGUGGGAGUUUGUCCGGGUACUCAUUCUUUCUCUCCCUUCUCACGUACUUCCAAGUCUUACUCAGUUGAUGGAGGUGGGUCUUGUAAUAAUAAAGAAACUGCCUUGGCCCAUUUUAUUGGAUAGAAAAUUAGGUAGGCGGAGUAGACAGAGGAGAAUGCUGGGAAAAAGAAGCUGUGUGAGGAGUCGCCAUGGUUCUCCCGCUCCAGACAGACGCAGGUUAAGAUCCUCUCUGGUAAGCCAGCUCAUGGGCUACACAGAAUAUUAGAAAUGGGUUAGAACAAUAUGUAAGAGCUAGCCAAUAAGAAACUGGACCUAGCCGGGCCAGGCAGUGUUUGAAAGAAUACAGUUUCCGUGUAAUUAUUUCUGGGUAUAAACUAGCCAUGCGGGCGGCCGGGUGCCGGGGACGCAGCCCUGCCGCUCCUAUUUCAACAGAUGGCGCCCAAACGUGAUGGGCUAAAUCCACUUAAAAACCUGAGAGGGCUUAAAAAGGAGAGAGAGAGAAUUUAAGACAGCUUUUUGCUGUUUCUGGGUUGCGUGCCGCAAAGAAAUUGUCCUGACUCGGCAGCAGGAAAAAACUGGCUGUUUUAAAAUGCCGGCUUUCUGGGCUGUGCCGCCAUUGUGAUCUCUGUCUGGCUCCGGCGGGAGACAGAGCUUAUGAAUGGAGCAUUUGGAUUAAAGUGCUACGAUUUGUUUGAUGGCAACUAGACUGCUGUGUGCCUAAAAGGGGGACAUUGUGUGCCGCAGCUCAGAGGCACAAGCAGCUCCGCCAUGCUAAUGGUGCAAUGUGCAAGGAUCAGAGGCACGAGCGGCUCCGCCAUGUUGGACUGGGCGGGGCCAGCAUACAGUACCUGUUUUUGACCUAGGAAUGUCACAGCUUAGAUUCUUAAGCGCUUAGUGAUUUAAAGGCGCAAAACAAAGUGCUCCUGGAUAGUAAAAAAGUUACAGAUUCACAAUAAAACAGAUUCAGACACUGUUGGAUAAAUGUACGUAGGCUUGGGAAAGAGAAGAAAAAGAAUAUAAAGAAUAAAGUUAAUGUCUUAAAAAGAAAAAGGGUAAAGUCUUUAAAGAGACAGAGUACAGAAGUACAGAUAGUUAUAGAUUAAGAGAAAUAAAGAAAAAUAAGCCACGUAAAAAUGGAAAAUUCACAGAGAGUCUGGAUUAUGUACAUUGUGUUUUCUUUAAAAUUUUUGACUGUGAAGGAGCUAAGUACAGAGAGACAUUUCAUUAUAUGGGCUGCCAAGCUAAACCAAAAUGGAUUUCAUGAGGGUAUUAUGAUUUCAGAAUUUGGGUCUAAGGAUAUGAUGCUUUGGAGAGGGUCUUCUUUUGUUUUUGCAGAGGAUGAGACCCUGUGGAUUGCAUCUAUUCCGAUUUGGUAUGAUAGACCACGCCCUCCUGAAAGGUUGCUGUGAACACCCUCAAAAAAUUACUUCACUCAACUGCCAACUGAGAUGAACCUGGCCCACAGGUUACACCCUAAACGAUCUGAUUAACAGCACCCCUAUUCAGCAGGAAGCAGUUUGGAGAGAAAAAACUACGCCCAUGUUCCCAUAUAUUGUUUAUAAAUGUUCUUUUACAUUUAAAGGGGGAUAUGAUAUAGAUAUGAAUAAUUUGCAUUGGUAUGGAUUUUAAGGUCAAUUUUGUUAUAUGUAUAUGUAUUUUUGAUCUUGAUUAAGGUAUUGUGAUUGUGUAGUUCAUUUUAAAAUGUAAUGUAUAAGUAGGAAAUAUAGGUUGUUAAUGGAUAAUAGUCAAGCUUUUAGUCAUGUUAGUUAGAUUUUCUAGAUAUAUAGAGAUAUCUUUCAGUUAGAUAGGCAUUCUUCAUAUCUUUCAAAGACUGCAGAAUAUGGCAUUUUAAAUGUUUUAAUAACUUAGGGCUUUUCAUGACAAGGAGACACGUCUGCUCCUGGCAGCACCAGCUACUUCAAAAAGAAGAUGGGCAUCGAAGAGGAUCCUUAUGGAGUUUGAUAGCCAUUUGGGCAAGAAACUGUUCUUGCCUGGACUGUUGCAUAAACUGUUCACAGAGAACCCGCAGAGAGAGGACUGCUGAACUUGCCUAAAGAUGAGAUGGUCUUUCAGGGUUCCUGAUUCAUGAAAGAGUCUGCGAGACAUUCUGCAGGACACAGCAGAAAAUGACUGA